rnacentral:rRNA from 1 species
UGCAAGUCGACUGGAAUUCUUCUUCGGAAGAUAGUACGGUGGCGGACGGGUGAGUAACGCGUAAAGAAUUUGCCCUUCAGACUGGGACAACUAAUCGAAAGGUUAGCUAAUACCGGAUAUUAUGAGACCUUGGCAUCAAGGACUUAUGAAAGCUAUAUGCGCUGGAGGAGAACUUUGCGUUCCAUUAGCUAGUUGGUAGGGUAAUGGCCUACCAAGGCGACGAUGGAUAGCCGGCCUGAGAGGGUGAACGGCCACAAGGGGACUGAGACACGGCCCUUACUCCUACGGGAGGCAGCAGUGGGGAAUAUUGGACAAUGGACCAAAAGUCUGAUCCAGCAAUUCUGUGUGCACGAUGAAGGUCUUCGGAUUGUAAAGUGCUUUCAGGUGGGAAGAAGAAAGUGACGGUACCACCAGAAGAAGCGACGGCUAAAUACGUGCCAGCAGCCGCGGUAAUACGUAUGUCGCAAGCGUUAUCCGGAAUUAUUGGGCGUAAAGCGAGUCUAGGCGGCUUGUUAAGUCAGAUGUGAAAAUGCGGGGCU